rnacentral:rRNA from 1 species
AGUGAACGCUGGCGGUAGGCCUAACACAUGCAAGUCGAACGGCAGCACAGUAAGAGCUUGCUCUUACGGGUGGCGAGUGGCGGACGGGUGAGGAAUACAUCGGAAUCUACUUUUUCGUGGGGGAUAACGUAGGGAAACUUACGCUAAUACCGCAUAUGACCUACGGGUGAAAGCAGGGGAUCUUCGGACCUUGCGCGAUUGAAUGAGCCGAUGUCGGAUUAGCUAGUUGGCGGGGUAAAGGCCCACCAAGGCGACGAUCCGUAGCUGGUCUGAGAGGAUGAUCAGCCACACUGGAACUGAGACACGGUCCAGACUCCUACGGGAGGCAGCAGUGGGGAAUAUUGGGCAAUGGGCGCAAGCCUGAUCCAGCCAUACCGCGUGGGUGAAGAAGGCCUUCGGGUUGUAAAGCCCUUUUGUUGGGAAAGAAAAGCAGUAGGUUAAUACCCCGCUGUUCUGACGGUACCCAAAGAAUAAGCACCGGCUAACUUCGUG